ACAGGAGUGCUUCAGAUUUCAAAUAUUUUUAGAUUUAGCAGGAUUUGCAGAUGCAUAUAAUGAGCUACCUUGGGGAUGGGGCUUGAAUCUAAACACCAAACUCACUUGUUUCCUAAACACCUCCUACACAGGCCACGGAGGCAACCUUACAGAGCACUGUUAGUGCACCAGCAUUCCAACAAAUGCCUACUACGGGCAUCAAAUGCGGCCCUGUCCACGUGGCAUCACACUGGUGCUCAAGAAAGCGUUUGGAGCAUUUCAGGCUUGCGUUGUUUGGAUCACGAACACUCGACGUGUAUUACAGUUUAGUGUCAUCAGAGUUGAGGUGAUCAAGUUCGAAUCCCAACUUUGUCCCUUGCAAUGUGGCUGAUUCUGUUCAGUGGCAUCUGAACUUGUAUAUCCAGGCUUCUGAAAUGGAAGUGUAUGUAUGUGUGUGUUGGGGGAGGGGGGUCGUGUUAUUGAGUAUUCAAUGAGGCAAUACAAACUCACUUUAAACAAUGACGUAGUAAGCAUCCAGUAAGUGGCCAGAGCACAGCCCAGCCCCUGAGAAGACCCAGCACUGUGAGGUAGGCACUCACUAUAGGAACUCAUUACUUUAUCUCAUUUGGAUCAAUGCUCACUGUCCCAGCUAAGAUCUGCAGGAGAGAAAGACAAGAUCCACUGAUGCUUCCAAGAGAACUAGCAAAGAUUGGGGGUGACUGAUACCAGGGUCCUCAUUGCUUUUUCUAAAAUGCAUCAAACAA
rnacentral:lncRNA from 1 species